GACGAACGCUGGCGGCGUGCCUAAUACAUGCAAGUUGGGCGCUGAAGGUUGGUACUUGUACCAACUGGAUGAGCAGCGAACGGGUGAGUAACGCGUGGGGAAUCUGCCUUUGAGCGGGGGACAACAUUUGGAAACGAAUGCUAAUACCGCAUAAAAACUUUAAACACAAGUUUUAAGUUUGAAAGAUGCAAUUGCAUCACUCAAAGAUGAUCCCGCGUUGUAUUAGCUAGUUGGUGAGGUAAAGGCUCACCAAGGCGAUGAUACAUAGCCGACCUGAGAGGGUGAUCGGCCACAUUGGGACGGAGACACGGCCCAAACUCCUACGGGAGGCAGCAGUAGGGAAUCUUCGGCAAUGGACGAAAGUCUGACCGAGCAACGCCGCGUGAGUGAAGAAGGUUUUCGGAUCGUAAAACUCUGUUGGUAGAGAAGAACGUUGGUGAGAGUGGAAAGCUCAUCAAGUGACGGUAACUACCCAGAAAGGGACGGCUAACUACGUG
rnacentral:rRNA from 1 species